rnacentral:rRNA from 1 species
GCAGGCGGCCUGUUAAGUCAGAUCGUGAAAGCCCCGGGGCUUAACCUCGGAAUUGCAUUUGAAACUGGCAGGCUAGAGUCUUGUAGAGGGGGUAGAAUUUCAGGUGUAGCGGUGAAAUGCGUAGAGAUCUGUAAGGAAUACCAGUUGGCGAAGGCGGCCCCCCUGGACAAAGACUGACGCUCAGAGUUCGCGAAAGCGUGGGGAGCAAACCAGGAUUAGAUACCCCUCGGGAG